rnacentral:tRNA from 2 species
GUGGUUGUAGCUCAGUUGGCAGAGCUCUUGGUUGUGGUCCAAGUGGUCGCGGGUUCAAGUCCCGUCAACCACCCCA